rnacentral:rRNA from 1 species
CCAGGAAAGAUUUAUCGCCAAAGGAGGAGCCCGCGUCAGAUUAGGUAGUUGGUGGGGUAAAGGGCCUACCAGGCCUGUGAUCUGUAGCUGGUCUGAGAGGAUGACCAGCCACACUGGGACUGAGACACGGCCCAGACUCCUACGGGAGGCAGCAGGUGGGGAAUAUGGACAUGGGGGAACCCUGAUCCAGCAAUGCCGCGUGAGUGAAGAAGGCCUUCGGGUUGUAAAGCUCUUUCGCCUGUGAAGAUAAUGACGGUAACAGGAUAAGAAGUCCCGGCUAACUCCGUGCCAG